AGAGUUUGAUCCUGGCUCAGGACGAACGCUGGCGGCGUGCUUAACACAUGCAAGUCGAGCGGUAAGGCCCUUCGGGGUACACGAGCGGCGAACGGGUGAGUAACACGUGGGUGAUCUGCCCUGCACUUCGGGAUAAGCCUGGGAAACUGGGUCUAAUACCGGAUAUGACCAAAGGCUGCAUGGCUUUUGGUGGAAAGGUUUACUGGUGCAGGAUGGGCCCGCGGCCUAUCAGCUUGUUGGUGGGGUAAUGGCCUACCAAGGCGACGACGGGUAGCCGACCUGAGAGGGUGACCGGCCACACUGGGACUGAGACACGGCCCAGACUCCUACGGGAGGCAGCAGUGGGGAAUAUUGCACAAUGGGCGAAAGCCUGAUGCAGCGACGCCGCGUGAGGGAUGACGGCCUUCGGGUUGUAAACCUCUUUCAGCAGGGACGAAGCGAAAGUGACGGUACCUGCAGAAGAAGCACCGGCCAACUACGUGCCAGCAGCCGCGGUAAUACGUAGGGUGCGAGCGUUGUCCGGAAUUACUGGGCGUAAAGAGUUCGUAGGCGGUUUGUCGCGUCGUCUGUGAAAACCCACCGCUCAACGGUGGGCCUGCAUGCGAUACGGGCAGACUUGAGUACUGCAGGGGAGACUGGAAUUCCUGGUGUAUCGGUGAAAUGCGCAGAUAUCAGGAGGAACACCGGUGGCGAACGCUGGUCUCUGGGCUUAACUGACGCUGAGGAACGAAAGCGUGGGUAGUAAACAGGAUUAUAUACCCUGGUAUUCCACGCCGUACACCGUGGGCGCUAUGUGUGGGUUUCCUUCCACGGGAUCUGUGCCGUAGCUAACGCAUUAAGCGCCCCGCCUGGGGAGUACGGCCGCAAGGCUAAAACUCAAAGGAAUUGACGG
rnacentral:rRNA from 1 species